CAAAAAAACAAUCAAAAAGUGCAUGAAAAUUGUAUGAAAAUUGCAAGUGAUAGCGUAAAAUGUCAGGCAUUUGAGUUUUCGGUUGGUGGCAGCGGCAGCGGCAGCGGCAGCGGCAGCGGCGGCUGGAUAGCCAACAGAUACACAACAUACAAGUUAUAGAUACAAGAUACAUAAUUGCUGCCAGCAGCAGAAAAAACCUGCCCGCUGAGCGUGUCAAUGACAGCAAAAUACGAGAGAGCGACAUGCUGAGAGAACGAUCAUCAAUAUCAUGAGAGACAGAGAGAGAGAGAGAGAGAGAGUAAGAUCAACCUCCAGAGAGUGAGAAAGCUAUGUGUAUCAUUGUGUGCGUGAGAGAGUUACCCACACAAGCAUAAAAAAUGAUCGCAGCAUAAAAUGUUUGUGGCUGUAAAAACAUACUUUUCGGGCCCAAAAGUGAGGCCUGAGCAAACACAGUUAUUCGUACUCUUCAUCUUUAUACCAUUUUGUUGUGUAUUUCCAUUUAAAUCAUCGGACUGACUCAAAGUGACGCGAACUGACUGGCGUUUCGUGUGCCUAAUGAAGGGUUCUGAUCGAAAAAUGCUGAACGUCUUUGAAUCACUACGAAAUUCGUCUUCGUCGUCGUCGUCGUCGACGUCGCCGUUUACUUAUUUUUUUUUUCGCUGCUCACCUAAGUGGAUAUUAGCAAAAUGCUGAAAAAUUGCGCCGAAAUGAAAUGAAAUCUUUAGCACGA